UUAAGUUAUUAAGGGCGCACGGUGGAUGCCUUGGCACUAGAAGCCGAUGAAGGACGUUACUAACGACGAUAUGCUUUGGGGAGCUGUAAGUAAGCUUUGAUCCAGAGAUUUCCGAAUGGGGAAACCCAGCAUGAGUUAUGUCAUGUUAUCGAUAUGUGAAUACAUAGCAUAUCAGAAGGCACACCCGGAGAACUGAAACAUCUUAGUACCCGGAGGAAGAGAAAGAAAAUUCGAUUCCCUUAGUAGCGGCGAGCGAAACGGGAAGAGCCCAAACCAACAAGCUUGCUUGUUGGGGUUGUAGGACACUCUAUACGGAGUUACAAAGGACGACAUUAGACGAAUCAUCUGGAAAGAUGAAUCAAAGAAGGUAAUAAUCCUGUAGUCGAAAAUGUUGUCUCUCUUGAGUGGAUCCUGAGUACGACGGAGCACGUGAAAUUCCGUCGGAAUCUGGGAGGACCAUCUCCUAAGGCUAAAUACUCUCUAGUGACCGAUAGUGAACCAGUACCGUGAGGGAAAGGUGAAAAGCACCCCGGAAGGGGAGUGAAAUAGAACCUGAAACCGUGUGCUUACAAGUAGUCAGAGCCCGUUAAUGGGUGAUGGCGUGCCUUUUGUAGAAUGAACCGGCGAGUUACGAUUUGAUGCAAGGUUAAGCAGUAAAUGUGGAGCCGUAGCGAAAGCGAGUCUGAAUAGGGCGUUUAGUAUUUGGUCGUAGACCCGAAACCAGGUGAUCUACCCUUGGUCAGGUUGAAGUUCAGGUAACACUGAAUGGAGGACCGAACCGACUUACGUUGAAAAGUGAGCGGAUGAACUGAGGGUAGCGGAGAAAUUCCAAUCGAACCUGGAGAUAGCUGGUUCUCUCCGAAAUAGCUUUAGGGCUAGCCUCAAGUGAUGAUUAUUGGAGGUAGAGCACUGUUUGGACGAGGGGCCCCUCUCGGGUUACCGAAUUCAGACAAACUCCGAAUGCCAAUUAAUUUAACUUGGGAGUCAGAACAUGGGUGAUAAGGUCCGUGUUCGAAAGGGAAACAGCCCAGACCACCAGCUAAGGUCCCAAAAUAUAUGUUAAGUGGAAAAGGAUGUGGCGUUGCCCAGACAACUAGGAUGUUGGCUUAGAAGCAGCCAUCAUUUAAAGAGUGCGUAAUAGCUCACUAGUCGAGUGACACUGCGCCGAAAAUGUACCGGGGCUAAACAUAUUACCGAAGCUGUGGAUUGUCCUUUGGACAAUGGUAGGAGAGCGUUCUAAGGGCGUUGAAGCAUGAUCGUAAGGACAUGUGGAGCGCUUAGAAGUGAGAAUGCCGGUGUGAGUAGCGAAAGACGGGUGAGAAUCCCGUCCACCGAUUGACUAAGGUUUCCAGAGGAAGGCUCGUCCGCUCUGGGUUAGUCGGGUCCUAAGCUGAGGCCGACAGGCGUAGGCGAUGGAUAACAGGUUGAUAUUCCUGUACCACCUAUAAUCGUUUUAAUCGAUGGGGGGACGCAGUAGGAUAGGCGAAGCGUGCGAUUGGAUUGCACGUCUAAGCAGUAAGGCUGAGUAUUAGGCAAAUCCGGUACUCGUUAAGGCUGAGCUGUGAUGGGGAGAAGACAUUGUGUCUUCGAGUCGUUGAUUUCACACUGCCGAGAAAAGCCUCUAGAUAGAAAAUAGGUGCCCGUACCGCAAACCGACACAGGUAGUCAAGAUGAGAAUUCUAAGGUGAGCGAGCGAACUCUCGUUAAGGAACUCGGCAAAAUGACCCCGUAACUUCGGGAGAAGGGGUGCUCUUUAGGGUUAACGCCCAGAAGAGCCGCAGUGAAUAGGCCCAAGCGACUGUUUAUCAAAAACACAGGUCUCUGCUAAACCGUAAGGUGAUGUAUAGGGGCUGACGCCUGCCCGGUGCUGGAAGGUUAAGAGGAGUGGUUAGCUUCUGCGAAGCUACGAAUCGAAGCCCCAGUAAACGGCGGCCGUAACUAUAACGGUCCUAAGGUAGCGAAAUUCCUUGUCGGGUAAGUUCCGACCCGCACGAAAGGCGUAACGAUUUGGGCACUGUCUCAACGAGAGACUCGGUGAAAUCAUAGUACCUGUGAAGAUGCAGGUUACCCGCGACAGGACGGAAAGACCCCGUGGAGCUUUACUGUAGCCUGAUAUUGAAAUUCGGCACAGCUUGUACAGGAUAGGUAGGAGCCUUUGAAACGUGAGCGCUAGCUUACGUGGAGGCGCUGGUGGGAUACUACCCUAGCUGUGUUGGCUUUCUAACCCGCACCACUUAUCGUGGUGGGAGACAGUGUCAGGCGGGCAGUUUGACUGGGGCGGUCGCCUCCUAAAAGGUAACGGAGGCGCUCAAAGGUUCCCUCAGAAUGGUUGGAAAUCAUUCAUAGAGUGUAAAGGCAUAAGGGAGCUUGACUGCGAGACCUACAAGUCGAGCAGGGUCGA
rnacentral:rRNA from 1 species